GUUGUAUGGUUAAGUGACUAAGCGUACACGGUGGAUGCCUGGGCAGUCAGAGGCGAUGAAGGACGUACUAACUUGCGAUAAGCGCAGAUAAGGCAGUAAGAGCCGUUUGAGUCUGCGAUUUCCGAAUGGGGAAACCCAACUGCAUAAGCAGUUACUGUUAACUGAAUACAUAGGUUAACAGAGCAAACCGGGGGAACUGAAACAUCUAAGUACCCCGAGGAGAAGAAAUCAACCGAGAUUCCGGUAGUAGCGGCGAGCGAACCUGGAUUAGCCCUUAAGCACUCGGUGAAGUAGGUGAACAAGCUGGAAAGCUUGGCGAUACAGGGUGAUAGCCCCGUAACCGACGCUUCAUCGAGCGUGAAAUCGAGUAGGGCGGGACACGUGAUAUCCUGUCUGAAUAUGGGGGGACCAUCCUCCAAGGCUAAAUACUCCUGACUGACCGAUAGUGAACCAGUACCGUGAGGGAAAGGCGAAAAGAACCCCUGUGAGGGGAGUGAAAUAGAACCUGAAACCGUGUACGUACAAGCAGUAGGAGCACCUUCGUGGUGUGACUGCGUACCUUUUGUAUAAUGGGUCAGCGACUUAUAUUCAGUGGCAAGGUUAACCGUAUAGGGGAGCCGUAGCGAAAGCGAGUCUUAACUGGGCGCUCAGUCUCUGGAUAUAGACCCGAAACCGGGUGAUCUAGCCAUGGGCAGGUUGAAGGUUGAGUAACAUCAACUGGAGGACCGAACCGACUAAUGUUGAAAAAUUAGCGGAUGACUUGUGGCUAGGGGUGAAAGGCCAAUCAAACUCGGAGAUAGCUGGUUCUCCCCGAAAGCUAUUUAGGUAGCGCCUCGGACGAAUACUACUGGGGGUAGAGCACUGUUAAGGCUAGGGGGUCAUCCCGACUUACCAACCCUUUGCAAACUCCGAAUACCAGUAAGUACUAUCCGGGAGACACACGGCGGGUGCUAACGUCCGUCGUGGAGAGGGAAACAACCCAGACCGCCAGCUAAGGUCCCAAAGUAUUGCUAAGUGGGAAACGAUGUGGGAAGGCUCAGACAGCUAGGAUGUUGGCUUAGAAGCAGCCAUCAUUUAAAGAAAGCGUAAUAGCUCACUAGUCGAGUCGGCCUGCGCGGAAGAUGUAACGGGGCUAAGCAAUACACCGAAGCUGCGGCAAUGUCUUUUAGACAUUGGGUAGGGGAGCGUUCUGUAAGCCGUUGAAGGUGAAUCGUAAGGUUUGCUGGAGGUAUCAGAAGUGCGAAUGCUGACAUGAGUAACGACAAAGGGGGUGAAAAACCUCCUCGCCGGAAGACCAAGGGUUCCUGUCCAACGUUAAUCGGGGCAGGGUGAGUCGACCCCUAAGGUGAGGCCGAAAGGCGUAAUCGAUGGGAAACGGGUUAAUAUUCCCGUACUUCUGACUAUUGCGAUGGGGGGACGGAGAAGGCUAGGUGGGCCAGGCGACGGUUGUCCUGGUUCAAGUGCGUAGGCUUGAGAGUUAGGUAAAUCCGGCUCUCUCUAAGGCUGAGACACGACGUCGAGCUACUACGGUAGUGAAGUCAUUGAUGCCAUGCUUCCAGGAAAAGCCUCUAAGCUUCAGAUAGUCAGGAAUCGUACCCCAAACCGACACAGGUGGUCGGGUAGAGAAUACCAAGGCGCUUGAGAGAACUCGGGUGAAGGAACUAGGCAAAAUGGUACCGUAACUUCGGGAGAAGGUACGCUCUUGAUGGUGAAGUCCCUCGCGGAUGGAGCUGACGAGAGUCGCAGAUACCAGGUGGCUGCAACUGUUUAUUAAAAACACAGCACUGUGCAAAAUCGCAAGAUGACGUAUACGGUGUGACGCCUGCCCGGUGCCGGAAGGUUAAUUGAUGGGGUUAGCGCAAGCGAAGCUCUUGAUCGAAGCCCCGGUAAACGGCGGCCGUAACUAUAACGGUCCUAAGGUAGCGAAAUUCCUUGUCGGGUAAGUUCCGACCUGCACGAAUGGCGUAAUGAUGGCCACGCUGUCUCCACCCGAGACUCAGUGAAAUUGAAAUCGCUGUGAAGAUGCAGUGUACCCGCGGCUAGACGGAAAGACCCCGUGAACCUUUACUACAGCUUGGCACUG
rnacentral:rRNA from 1 species